ACGGCGGCGGGCGCUGGGAUCGGAGUCGGCUGGGGCUCGAAGCCCUUGGGCCGGCGGCUUCGAAGCCUUCGGGGAGCGGCCCGGGGCGGGGGCCCAGGCAGGAAGUGCCUCUUCCCCUUCUCCACUCGUCCAGGGUCCCGGCCGGGCCACCAGGGCCCCUCAGAACCGCAGGGCCGCGGGCCGGGCCGUCGCUCUUUGUGAGGCUGUGGCGCGGCGGCCGCCGUCCUCCCGUCCCCGCCGCGCAGCCGAGCGCUCCGCGAGCCCGCAACAGCCGCGACCCUUGGCGACCCGCGGCCCCCACCCGCCUCCCCUCCACCCUCGGUGACUGUCGCAGCGACCGCCGGUCCGCAGACAGCUCGCCCAGUGACACCCCCACUUCCUAGGCCGCCCCGCCCCCACGGCAGCCGUCCCAGCCGCAGCGUCGGGGGCGCGCCCGGGCUCCGCUCCUGGUCGGCCCGCGGGCCCGCGCUCCAGGGCCGCGCUCGCACCCCGCCCGCUCGUGCUCAGGUGUCUGGGCUUUGGGCCGUGCCCGCCUCGGAGCCAGCCCCUACCACGCUGCCCACCGGACCCUGGGUGUGGGGGACACUGCUCGGGAGCCCACGGGUGCUGAGCGCCCGGGAGCCCGCGCCUGCCCAGCUGUUCCGCCUGUGUUUGUUGUGCCGAGGAGGCCCCGCCGCCGCCGCGCGCUCCGCCUUGCGCCGGGCGAUUGGCUGGCGGGCGUCACGUGGGCGCGAUCAGCUGGGCCGGCUGCGGGCGGUCGGCCUGGCUCUGACCCCCGCCGCUGCUUGGUGAGCCGACCGGGAGGCUCGUCCCUGCUGGCGUUGGGUAGGCACACUCCUGCACACCCCUUUAAUCCACGCUGCUAUCUAGGCAGAGAGAAGAGACUGAAAACCAAAUAUACAGCCAUGUUUCCACGUGAAUCCAUUAUAGCAGAAUCAGAAUAUGCUACUUCUGGAAGGGGCAGAGUUUUGUAACCCUUCCUGUGCUAGAACCAGUGCGCCAUGCUCUUUAUACUCAGUCUUUGUCUUCCCCCAUUUGGUAGAAUGAGAAACCCCCUCUGCUCUGUCCACUGUUGGAGGGAACUCUGGGAUGGGUGUUUGUGGAAAUACCCCAAAGGUUUAGUUCUUAAGUAGAGAUUCUUCUUUCCGAAGUGGGUGUUUUCCAUCCGGAGAUCCUAUCCAAAUGCAAAUAGAUGCCUGUUGUUCUCCUUGGUAUUUUUAGAGCUAGGAAGUGGUGCCUCCUUAGGUUGAAUCCAUUUGCCAGCAUUGAGACCAAACUGGAUUAUUAAUUAUAGGGAGGGCAGAUACCUAUUUUAAGACCUAGAGUUGAAACACCAAGAAUUUGAAAUCUUAAGUUUCUAGCUUUUGUCCUGUUUAUAAUUUCCAUUACCUGGGUACUUAUGGCUGUAAUUAACAGGCGGUGAAGCUAGUUAAUUGCUUUUUCCUAUCCUGAACCCUGCUUCCUCAUCUGUGGUGGAACAGGGAUGAAAUGGGAUGUAGAGUCUACUUUUAUGACCUUUAUUUAGCAUUCAUCAUACAGGGCACUGUUCUCAGGAUAUAGUGUCUUCAUUUAAUUCUCUUCCAGGAAUAUCGCUCUUGCCAUUUUACAUAGGAAACAGUAAUUUGUCCAAGGUUACAAAGGUAUUGAGGGGAGGGAGAACUGAAAUUUAUAAACAGCACCUGGCUUUAGCUCUAGGCUGUACCGUCUGAGCGGAGUCAGCAGCUGGCUGUAACUGAUUUGAAUGAUCUUCAUACAGUUGAUCUUCCACAGAAAAGAAAGCUAAGGAUCUUUGUCUUGAGGACUAGGACUCACACUGGCUGCUCUGCACUUCUCAGUGCUCUUUGCUCAGUCUUCUGGACGCUGGGAUUACAAGCCUGAGUCACUGCCCCACUGAGAAAACCCUUGGGUUUAGCCAGGAAAUCUAUGAAGAAAAUGGGAAUGGCAUUCCAGGAAUUUGUCAGUUAUUCCUAAUGAUCUUUACGCCUGAUUGUCAACCAGGUUUCUGUUUCUCUGAGAAAGACAUCUAAAGUGAAGAGCUUUUCCCCUACCUAUCUCAGUGUGCUGUAAGCAGGAUAACCUUUCUUGGUAAGGACAAGUGUGGCUGUAGUCCAAACUAGUAAAAUAUGAUAUUUUCUUCUUAA
rnacentral:sRNA from 1 species